rnacentral:ncRNA from 1 species
AAAUAAAUUUUUAUGGUUUAUAAAUUUUAAUUUAAAUUUAUUUUACAUACAAAUUUUAGUAUGAAUUUAUAAUUAUUUUAAUAAUAUUUAUUAUAAUUUGUAGUAAUUAAUAUUAAAAAUUUAAGAAAUUAAGAUUUAGUAAUAUUUAAAUUAUUAACAAAUUUUGUGCCAGCAGUUGCGGUUAUACAAAAAAUAAUUUAAAUUUUAUCAGUGUAUAAUUAAUAAAUAUUUAAUUUAAUUUAAAUAUUAAAUUAUUAGGUGAAAUUUUAAUUUAAUUAAAAUUUAUUUAAAUUUUAUGAUUUAUUAAAUUUUAUAAAAAACUAGGAUUAGAUACCCUAUUAUUAAAAAUUAAAUUUAUAACACUAAAAUAGUAAUUAAUUAUUUAUUGAAACUUAAAUAAUUUGGCGGUAUUUUAGUAUAUUUAGAGGAAUCUGUCCAAUAAUUGAUAAUCCACGAAUAAAUUUACUUAAUUUUUAAUUUUGUAUAUCGUUGUUAUAAAAAUAUUUUUUAAUAAUAAUAAUAUUUAAAAAUUUUUAUUUAAAAUUAACUCAGAUCAAGAUGCAGAUUAUAAUUAAGAAUGAGAUGGAUUACAAUAAAAAUAUUUAAAUGAAUAAUAUUUUGGAAAAAAUAUUUGAAGGUGGAUUUAAAUGUAAUUUUAUUUAAUUUAAUAAAAUGAUUAAAUAUUAAAAUAUGUACAUAUUGCCCGUCGCUUUCAUUAAUAAGUUGGAAUAAGUCGUAACAAAGUAGAGGUACUGGAAAGUGUUUCUAGAAAGAA